rnacentral:rRNA from 1 species
CAGAUUGAACGCUGGCGGCAGGCUUAACACAUGCAAGUCGAGCGGGGGAGAUUGCUUCGGUAAUUGACCUAGCGGCGGACGGGUGAGUAAUACUUAGGAAUCUGCCUAUUAAUGGGGGACAACAUCUCGAAAGGGAUGCUAAUACCGCAUACGCCCUACGGGGGAAAGCAGGGGAUCACUUGUGACCUUGCGUUAAUAGAUGAGCCUAAGUCGGAUUAGCUAGUUGGUGGGGUAAAGGCCUACCAAGGCGACGAUCUGUAGCGGGUCUGAGAGGAUGAUCCGCCACACUGGGACUGAGACACGGCCCAGACUCCUACGGGAGGCAGCAGUGGGGAAUAUUGGACAAUGGGGGGAACCCUGAUCCAGCCAUGCCGCGUGUGUGAAGAAGGCCUUAUGGUUGUAAAGCACUUUAAGCGAGGAGGAGGCUCUUCUAGUUAAUACCUAGGAUGAGUGGACGUUACUCGCAGAAUAAGCACCGGCUAACUCUGUGCCAGCAGCCGCGGUAAUACAGAGGGUGCGAGCGUUAAUCGGAUUUACUGGGCGUAAAGCGUGCGUAGGCGGCUUUUUAAGUCGGAUGUGAAAUCCCCGAGCUUAACUUGGGAAUUGCAUUCGAUACUGGGAAGCUAGAGUAUGGGAGAGGAUGGUAGAAUUCCAGGUGUAGCGGUGAAAUGCGUAGAGAUCUGGAGGAAUACCGAUGGCGAAGGCAGCCAUCUGGCCUAAUACUGACGCUGAGGUACGAAAGCAUGGGGAGCAAACAGGAUUAGAUACCCUGGUAGUCCAUGCCGUAAACGAUGUCUACUAGCCGUUGGGGUCUUUGAGACUUUAGUGGCGCAGCUA